rnacentral:rRNA from 1 species
GACGAACGCUGGCGGCGUGCUUAACACAUGCAAGUCGAACGGGCCUUGUCCCCUUUUUUUUUGGGGGUGGGGUUAGUGGCGAACGGGUGAGUAACACGUGAGUAACCUGCCCCUCACUUCUGGAUAACCGCUUGAAAGGGUGGCUAAUACGGGGUGUUCUGGCCUGCUCGCAUGGGUGGGUUUGGAAAGAUUCGACCGGUUUUGGUUGUUUUGGUGGGGGAUGGGCUCGCGGCCUAUCAGCUUGUUGGUGGGGCGAUGGCCUGCCAAGGCUUUGACGGGUAGCCGGGCUGGGAGGGUGGGCGGUCACACUGGGACUGAGACACGGCCCAGACUCCUACGGGAGGCAGCAGUGGGGAAUAUUGCACAAUGGGCGCAAGCCUGAUGCAGCGACGCCGCGUGAGGGAUGGAGGCCUUCGGGUUGUGAACCUCUUUCGCCAGUGAAGAAGGUCCUGCUCUUUGUGGUGGGGUUGACGGUAGCUGGGUUAAUGAAGCGCCGGCUAACUACGUG